rnacentral:rRNA from 1 species
UACGAAGGGGGCUAGCGUUGUUCGGAUUUACUGGGCGUAAAGCGUGCGUAGGCGGUUUGCCGUGUCCUGUGUGAAAGCCCCGGGCUCAACCUGGGAAUUGCAUGGGAAACUGGCAGGCUUGAGUGUGGCAGAGGAGGGUGGAAUUCCGCGUGUAGCAGUGAAAUGCGUAGAGAUGCGGAGGAACACCGAUGGCGAAGGCAGCCCUCUGGGCCAACACUGACGCUCAGGCACGAAAGCGUGGGGAGCAAACAGG